AUUGAACGCUGGCGGCAGGCCUAACACAUGCAAGUCGAGGGGUGCGUCAUACCUUUGAGUAACGCGUGUGAACGUACCUUUUGGUUCGGAACAACACAGGGAAACUUGUCCUAAUACCGGAUACCGAAAGAUCGGCCCGCGUCUGAUUAGCUAGUUGGUAGGGUAAUGGCCUACCAAGGCGACGAUCAGUAGCUGGUCUGAGAGGAUGAUCAGCCACAUUGGGACUGAGACACGGCCCAAACUCCUACGGGAGGCAGCAGUGGGGAAUAGUGGACAAGGGGGGCAACCCUGAUCCAGCCAUGCCGCGUGAGUGAUGAAGGCCCUAGGGUUGUAAAGCUCUUUUGUGCGGGAAGCGGUAACGAAAGAAUAAGCAACGGCUAACUUCGUGCCAGCAGCCGCGGUAAUUG
rnacentral:rRNA from 1 species